rnacentral:rRNA from 1 species
GAUCCUGGCUCAGGAUGAACGCUAGCGACAGGCUUAACACAUGCAAGUCGAGGGGCAGCACAGGGUAGCAAUACUUGGGUGGCGACCGGCGCACGGGGGAGUAACGCGUAUGCAACUUACCUAUCAGAGGGGGAUAGGCCCGGCGAAAGUCGGAUUAAUACCCCAUGAAACAGGGGUCCCGCAUGGGAAUAUUUGUUAAAGAUUCAUCGCUGAUAGAUAGGCAUGCGUUCCAUUAGGCUAGG